GUGGGGAAUAUUGCGCAAUGGGGGAAACCCUGACGCAGCAACGCCGCGUGAUUGAAGAAGGCCUUCGGGUUGUAAAGAUCUUUAAUUGGGGACGAAAUAAAUGACGGUACCCAAAGAAUAAGCUCCGGCUAACUACGUGCCAGCAGCCGCGGUAAUACGUAGGGAGCAAGCGUUAUCCGGAUUUACUGGGUGUAAAGGGCGAGUAGGCGGGCGGACAAGUUGGGAGUGGAAUCCGGGGGCUUAACCCCCGAACUGCUUUCAAAACUGUUGGUCGUGAGGGAUGGAGAGGCAGGCGGAAUUCCCAGUGUAGCGGUGAAAUGCGUAGAUAUUGGGAGGAACACCAGUGGCGAAGGCGGCCUGCUGGACAUUAACUGACGCUGAGGCGCGAAAGCGUGGGGAGCAAACAGGAUUAGAAACCCGAGUAGUCC
rnacentral:rRNA from 1 species